rnacentral:misc_RNA from 1 species
GAACAUAUUCUCGAGAUAAAUUUCUCCAAACUUUAUGAGAACAGUUUACAAAAGGGAAGAAUCUAUGUACAAGAAAAUUGCUUUUUCAUAUCUUCAAAGUCGACCAAUUUACGAAUUAUUGAGAGAACAAUCUUAGCAGUGGAAUAAGAUAAAAUCAUAGCAGUGAGAAAGAAAAUUGCUCGAGUAUUUCUGUAGAGAAUGAUCAUAUCAAAUAGGAAUUAGGAGAAAAAUUAUAAAGAUUAUUGAUGCUUCAAUACGAAAGAGAGUAACUUAAAUUCCUAGAAGAGAAAAGAUUUAGAAAGUGUUGUGGCAGAGCCACAACCCAA